rnacentral:lncRNA from 1 species
GGAAGAAACUGAAUACAACAAUCAAUAUAUAUUAUUUUUAAUUAUUGCUUGUAAUUAUUGCGAUAAUGUUGAUUCGAAUUAUUACCAAAUAAAACAAAAUUUCGAAAAUAUUCUAAAGUGAUUUGUCAUGCAUUAAUAUUAAUUGCUUAUGGGCAUUUUUCCAACGAAAUCAAAUCCAAUUCAUCACGUGCAACACCUCUCCCAUUUAAUCACCAUUCUUUUCUUUUCAUUUACUUCCCGUGCACCCCCUUUUUUUCUUUUUUUCCUUCCUUCAUUUUUUCCUUUUGUUUUUCUUUUUCCUUUUUUCUUCUUUUUUUUUUCUUUUCCCUUUUUUCUCUUUUAUUCUUUUUCUUUUCUUUUUCUUUCUUUUUCCUUUUCAUUUUUUUGUUCUAUUUUUUUGUUCUUUUUUUUUUCUUUUCUUUUUUCCAAAAAAGAAUCAAAUCAAAUAAAAAAGUAAAAAAAUUAAAUCAAAUACCAAAUAGUAAAAUAAAAAUUAAAAAUACCUAAAUAAAAAUAAAAUAAGACAAAAAUAAAAACAAGUUCAUUUAUUUAUUCAACCAAACGAAAUUGGGUGUUGACAACUGCCCCUCUUUACUUAGAAUUUACUAGGUAAUAUGAAAACUUGAUGUUUUCAUAUUAUCUGAGUAAAAGCUAAGUAAAGAAAGAAACACUAAUUUCGUUUGGGUUUCAAAAAGAGAAAGAGGAAAAAAUAGAAGAAACAAUCCAAAUAGAUAUGAUUACAAAUAUCAAUGAAGAGUACCAAGAUGCAACCAAGAGAGUUCGACCAUUGCGAAGCAAAGGGCCGAUAACAAAAUGAAACCUGGAUUUGACCAUUGCCUUGCAGAGGGC